rnacentral:lncRNA from 1 species
GAACUACAUUCUCCAGGCCAUUAGCUGCUCUUUCCACUUUGGGCCUCUCAGCUGUGCAGCCGGAAAUGGAUCGUGGGGAGAGGAGCUGCCACUCUUCUGCAAAUAUCCUGGAAUCUUGGCUAUGUCAGGAAGUGUUUGGAGAAUGCCUUGGAAGCUGAGAAAGUGUUUCCAAAGCAGCAUGCACACGAAGAUAUUUGAACCAGAGAACAUCCACUCUGAAAUAGAUGCAUGGAGUGCAUUCACAGAAUAUCACGUUUUUCUCAGGUUUAAAAGCUACAGCCCAGUACUCUGAACCCAAGAAUUAAG